AGCUGUAUGCUGUAGUGGUAAGGAGCAGGGCUAGUAACCGAAAGGUUGCUGGUUCGAUUCCUUGCUGCUGUUG